AAAGUCGUAACAAGGUUUCCGUAGGUGAACCUGCGGAAGGAUCAUUAAAAAAAAAUACAUCUCUGGGUCCACUGUGUAUUCGUGGAUCCAGUGCUGUUAUUCAACCACCUGUUUACCUUUACCUGUUGCUUCCGUGGAAUUACGGGUGCUCUUCCUGUUCGCAGGCUUGAGUUACCUUCCACGGGUGUAUUUUUUAAAAACUCGUUUUGUAUUUUUGUCUGAUUUAAAUUUUUAAUAAAAGUUAAAACUUUCAACAACGGAUCUCUAGGUUCUC
rnacentral:misc_RNA from 1 species